GGCCACAACUUUAUUAAAUUUCAAAUGUGGGUAGACCUUGGCUCAGGCAUUGGGCGUUCUCCCUCCCCAGUCCCCAGCCGGGGACCUAGGGAGCUUCAGGGUUAUCCAGUGUGUGGGGGGGGAUGGGCCGGCUCUGGAGAACAUAUGUUCAAGCAGAGAUAGCUGCCCCCGUUACGCCGCCGCCGCAGGGGAGAGCAAUGACGACCUUUCGGCGUACGGUCAAAGCCUCCCUUCAGAAACCCCUUUAACGGGGAACCCUGGUAUCGCCGCCGCAAAGAGGAAGAUGGACUAAAGGAUUCCGCCCAAGGCCUGAUACCGCCAAAGUUGUGACGUUUUGCUACGGGAAAGGCGAAACCUGCCAAUGCAGGGAAAUUCCUUUCCGGCCCUUUAACAGCGACCUUAACGUAGCAGCGCCCGCAUACCUGUGAAGAAAAGUUAACCUGCAAAACCUAUGAAGAAAAGUUAACCUGCAAAGGAAGACAUUAACUGAGGGUGGGUAGGGUGGGAGAAGCUCUGGAGCCAAGUGAGGAUUCCCAGGUAAGAUCCUCCCUCUAUUGUGUGGGCAGGUAAUCCCUCCCCUACCUGGCCUGGUCUCCUUGGCAACGCUUCCCCCAGGUGGGAUUGGACAACUGACUGAGGUAGGCGGGGACCUCCAGGUAUCCCACCUGAGGGAAGGCAAAGCCAAGGCUAUGCUGAUGGGGCCGCUCCAGAUCCAGGGCUGUGCGCAUCCACACAAAGGGCACCCCCCGUUUUAAGCGGGGAGCGGUCA
rnacentral:lncRNA from 1 species